UAAAAUCACGUUCGGUUGAUUUUAAUCAUGAAAUUUAAUUCGGUUUUGGGAAUCGAAUAUUCGGACGUGUCACAAUUCAUUUUUAGGACCGUCUCAUCGUCUAUCAAUUUAUUGCCGAGUCCGAAAUUUCAAUAAAUAAAUUAUCAGAGGAAAAAUCGAAGACUGGAAGAAUUUAGAAAGGGAAAUGGAAAGAGAAAAGAAAAUUUAGAAUAGUAUUAUUCUUUUCUUUUCUUUUUCUCUCUCUCCCUUUUCUCUCUUUUUCUCUCUCUCUUCUCUCUCCUUUCCCCUCCCUCUUCGUGCGUAGCCUCCCCACCCACCGAACACCCCUUGCCAAUUUUAAAUUGGCUUCUCUCCUUUUGACUAGUCAAAACUCCUCUCUCUUAUCUCUUCUUCUCUCUCCUCUCUCUUCUCCCUCACCCCACGUGACAGAAACCCCUCUUCUUCCUCUCUUCUUCGUGAGACCCAGCUGAACAGAAACGGAAGCAGCUCGCCUGGGAUCAGAGCCGCCGCCGUCGCCGCCCAAGCUCAGCCGCUCGCCGGUCGUCCUUCCCCGCGCGACGCCGCGCGUUCAGCCGCUCGCCCUUGCGCCCGUGCGCCGUCUGCCCCCGUCCAGCGAAGCUUCCGCCUCUGCUUCGCCGCUGUCCAACUCCUGUUCAGCCACCGUCGGACCGCCGUCCAGCUCCGAUCGGCCGUCGUGCCGCCUCCCCGGAGCUCCGCCCAUCUUUCCCGACCCUUUGCCGCCCCAUCCUUCUCUCUUUCCCUUUGUUUGGCAGCGAUCCAGCAGACCCACGGAGUGGGUAUCCAGCUAUUCGUGGGCCGUUUUGGGCCGUUUCCCGGCCCCGAACCCGAGCCGUGCUUUGGGAAGAAUCGUUCCUCGCGUCGCCGCCGUCGGAUUGAUCCGAUUUGCGCGCGAUUUGGUGAGUAAUCUCACUAAUCUUGGAUUAGUUGGCUAAUUAUGCUUAAGGUUGAUUUAGAUUUAAUUAAUUAUGUUUAGGUUGUUAGAUUAGAGUAAAUUAGCAAUUAUUAGUCAAUUGUGAUGCGAUUUAGAUAAAUUGAUUGUGCAAUUAGCAAGUAGACGUGGUCUACUAAUUAUUGGAAGUGUCUCGGGAUUUUUUCCCGACCCUUAGUGGGCUCCAAUUAGGCUUUUCGGGCCUAAGUGGAUUUUUUUUAGUAUUUAAAUAUUUAUUUUCGGAAUUAAAUUAAAUAAUGAUUUAUUUUCCGAAAAUUUAAGGGAGAUGGUUCGGAACCGGAAUAUUAUGAGGAUGACUGUGGUGAAGUCCGUUUAUGUAAUCGGGCUUUAAUUUGAGCUAAAUGGGAUUUUUAAUAUUAAUUAUUUAAUAUUAGAAAUUAAUUAAAUAAUUAUUUAUUUUCCAAAAAUUCAACUGAGAUGGUCUGGAACCGGAAAAUUAUGCUGAUGACCGUGGUGAAGUCCGUUUAUGUAAUCGGGCUUUAUUUUGAGCUAAAUUGAAUUUUUAAUAAUAAUUAUUUAAUUUUCGAAAUUAAUAAAUAAAUUAAUUAUUUUUCGGAAAUUAAGAUUUUGAUGGCCGACGACCGAAAUCUCGUGCUGAUCGUCGUGGUGCAGUCCGUUUAUUUAUUUGAGCUCCACGUUGUAUGGAAUUGAGUAAAUUGUGAUAUUUUAGGGAUUUACCCUAAAUUGAUUGGAAUUGAUUGAGAUUGAAUUAUUGAUUGGUAAAUUGCCAAUUAUGUUUAUUCAGCAUUUAUAAUGCUUUGUUGAGUUGUAAAGUGAGUAGAAUUGUGAGAGUGAUUUGAAUAUGCUCUUGGCUAAGAUCCCUCAGGUAUGUUAAUAUCGUGUGAAAAUCGAGUGAGUUGAUGAGUGUGUGGGGAUUCAUCCCAAGAUUGAUCAAUGUCGGUAUUCAAUUAGAAUUUGACUAUGAGAGGUUGUGAGUUGAACCUCGGAAGCCGCCGAAGUAUGGCUAUGCCAGUUGGGCUGAGAUUUGCCACCGAAUUUGGAGUCGGUCGCGGAUAAGGCCGUAAUCUGCCACCUAUUAAAGGUCGCGCCCGUUGGGCCGUAAAUUGCCACCUAUUAAAGGUCGCGCCUGUUAAGGCCAUAAUUUGCCACCCGAUACGGGUCGCGCCUGAUAAGGUCGUAAUCAGCCACCUAUUAAAGGUCGCGCCCAUUGGGCCGUAAUUUGCUACCUAAAGAUAGGUCGUGUCCUUCGGGACUGUAAUUUGUUGUCAAGAAAUUUGGUAGUCUAUACUUGUGAAGUCGUGAGUACGAUUUGAACCUGAAUAAGGGAAACGACUGGGGAAUGGUCGAAUUGACAUGAAAUCGACUAGGUCGAUGGAUCGAGAUAUUGAUCUGUGAUGUAAUUGCUUGGGUGCCUAUUGAACUGUGCUAAGAUGCAGGUGGAGUCUGAGGCCAAGGUAAGUCCUCUGCCCUGUGCGUGUUUAGGCAGCCUAUAGUAUAAUAGUUUACUAAUCGGGCUUAGUGGGGUAGAACUCGCUGAGACGUAGUCUCAUCCCAGUUUGGGGAAACCAUUUUAGGACCCCGCUGAAGAGCUGAGGAGGAGGAAUCCGAGAAGGAGAACUCGGAGGUGAGAUCUGAAGAAAAGGAUUUUUGGAAGAAGAAGACAAUUAUGAGAGGGGCCUUGAGUACGGCCUAGUUCAUCUAAGUUUCUGUCUUCUUUUGUGAUCUCCGUUUUGAUGUGUGUAGUAAUGAAAGGGUUUGUGGUUUGUAUAAAAGUGUGGUUAUAAAUUUCAAUAUGAAAAAUAUGGCCCUGCUUUUCUAUCCCAUCGUUUUAUUGUCUGGGGAUUUUAAUUGCUUCCGCAUGUGCUUAAAAAUGAAAGGGUCGGCGAUACGUUGUCCUGGGAUAUCGCAUUAUAAAAUCGACCAAGGUAGAAGGAUGUGUGCGUGCCCGAGGAUCGGGGCGUGACAC
rnacentral:lncRNA from 1 species